rnacentral:tRNA from 1 species
GGGGGGAUAGCUCAGUUGGGAGAGCGUCAGACUGAAGAUUAGAAACUUCAAUCACAUAUACUGUUUCCGUCACAGGCAGGAUAUCUGAAGGUCGCGUGUUCGAUCCACGCUCACCCCA